rnacentral:misc_RNA from 1 species
AACGCACAUUGCGCUUCCUGGUAUUCCGGGAAGCAUGCCCGUUUCAGAAUCAAUAAAAAUCUCACCCCAAAUCGGUGCUCUCGAGCACCGAGGUCAAGGUGGAUAUGGAUCUUUGCUCUGGCAAUUAUCUGAAAUCCAUUGUAUGUGCACCAGUCGAUUCGUCUUUUGGUUGUCCAAGUGCAACAAGUGGUUUAUCCAUUUCGCUUUGGCAGCUGCUUGACCUCCCUGAUGCGUUUACUCACCCCAUAUCGCGAGGGCCAGAUUGUAAAGAUUUGGUACUCCAAAAACUUGAUCUGAAAUCGGGUAGGAAAACCCGCUGAACUUAA